GAAUGUGUUAUUUUGUUCACCAAUAUGUAUUAUACUAUGUAUUUUGUUCCAUUCUAUUUGGGUUUAGGAUUUAUACUUGGGUUUAGGGUUUAUAUUUGGGUUUAGGGUUUAUAUUUGGAUUUAGGGUUUAUAUUUAUGUAAGAGUUUAGUGAUUAGAGUUUAAAGUUUAGUAUUUAUAAGGUGAGAGAGUAUGGUUAGGGUCAACAUUAAUUUUUUCUUUGCAAUUAUAGAUAUUCCAUAAAUUCACUAAUAUAUGCUAUGUUAUUUUCUUUGUUCCAUUCUAUAUGGAUUUUUGGUUUAUAUUUGAGUUUAUGGUUUAUAUUUAGAUUUAUGAUUUACUGAUUAGAAUUUAGGAUUUAGUAUUUAAGGGUCGUGGUAAGAUUGGGAUUUGGAUAUGAUUAGUAUUUAGGGGUUGUAGCUGGGGUUGUAAUCAUAUACUACUUCGGUGAUGUAGAAUAGAAUUCUCGGUACAUAUGUAUGUGGUUAAUAAAUGUAUACGUGGAUGACUCCACCAUAAGAAAGACAUCAUCUACUCUCUCUCACUUGUAACUGAAAACCUUUUAAGCUAUGAGGCAGAACCAGAUAAAAUGGGACAUAAAUAUAUGACAUUUAAUUAUGUCAAAAUCAUUGUUACUUACUUAAUUUACCUUCCAAAUAUGGCUAUUACACAAAUAAGCCCUUGAUAUUAUGCAACUUAUUCAAUUUCUUCAAAGAAAUUAUGUGUAUAGUGAUUAUAGUUAAGAUUAACAGGUCAAUAAUGAUUAUAUUUGUGUAUCAUCAAGAUAAUAACAAGAUGUUGAUCCUUUGAAAUGGAAAUCAUUUUUGUGAUUCGCAUUUUUCCUUUACGGUAUAGUAAUAAACCAGAAAGCUCUAAAAAAGUAUAUUGCACUUAUUGUAUUUUGUACAGAUAUCUCCAAGUAACAAAAAUAAAAAGAAAAAUUUACACUCAUUACACUGGACAAGACAGAUACUCAUCACAAGACAAUACACUAUAAGGACAAGGGUUUGGGGAUCACGAACUUGAGUCACACCUUCAAGCAUCUGUGUAAUAUUUCUCAUGUUAGGUCUCAAUCCCUAUUUUCACAUAUCUCUCUACCGUCCCCACGUCUUCAAUCGCCUCUAAAUCGUUUUCGGUUAGAUCCUCCAACCUCCUGUCUCGAAAACAGUCGUAAGCCCAAUCGAUGAGAAUCACACUUUCAUCAAGAUCGACGGCUUUCUUGCAGCACACGAUUUCUAAAAGCACGACUCCGUAGCUAUAGACAUCUACUUUGGAUGUAAUGGGACUGUUCCUGAACCACUCAGGUGUAACAUACCCUUUUGUUCCUCGGAUGUUGGUGAGUGUAUGCGUUUGGUUCAUCAUCAGAAGCUUUGCUAGACCAAAAGAUUCUAGGUUUGUAAGACGCAUCUAGAAGUAUGUUCUGUGGUUUUAUGUCGCAAUGUAUGAUUUGCUCUUUACAUUCUUCAUGUAAAUACAAGAUUCCGCGAGCAGUCCCAACCGCGAUUCUCUUCCUAUCUUCCCAGCUCGGUCUCGGACGCCUAAAGAGAAAAUCGGCUAGUGUCCCGUGUGGUAUGAACUCAUAGACUAUCAAACGGCUCUGUCCUUCGUUUCAGAAGCCAAUCAGCCUCACUAGAUUCUUGUGAUGGAUCUGACCAUUCACUUUAACCUCAUUCUUGAACUCAUUCUCGUUUUCUUGAGCAACGCGGUCUAGUUUCUUGACAGCCACGCAACUUCAUCACGACCACUAAUUUUUAUAAAUCCUUUGUAAACGAUCCCAAAACCUCUCUUCCAAGCUCGCUGUAUGUAAAGACCCUCAGAUUCAACUCAACUGAAGUUGAUGUCGCGGCACCGAUAUCUCUAGCUUGACUCAGUUUCUUCUUCCUCUUAUUUAUCCUUCUAUAAAGAGCAAGUAAUAUGCAAUUCAAAAGAGCUGAAGUUCCAAGCAAAACCGAACAAGCGAUGAUCAACCAGCCGCUGUUUCUCCCUAUAUAUCUGGUAACUGGAACAUCAACAACGCCUUUUAAAACCUUAAUGAGUGUAUACUGUAUAGCUAUCACGUGGAUCAUCGUUAUUACCAUUAGGUGCUCUUUGUCCGAAAGACAAUGGAAACCUCUUCGCCCAACAUACUCGAUCAUUUCCGUAAACCACAGCAGCACAGAAACAGUCGUUAAGACAAGCAUUUCUACACUUGUCUUCAUCAAAAUUACUGUACCUCUGGUAAUCCCCGUACGGCCAGUUAGUGCGGUCUACACGCAUAAGCUCAUAAACAUUAACAUGCACGUUUUCAGUUUCGUUAUUCUCUGGUCCACAAGUCUGCAUCUCGAAAUCCGGCUUGCAGUCACCGUACUCGUCACUAGGAUCCAUCAACAAGAACUUCUCGGGACAUUGACACUUCGGCCUCUGUCCAUCACCCUAAAUGCAUAUACUAUUAAACCCACAAGCUACAUUACCAAGAGCUACUUUGGAGCUCUUCUCACAUAUAUUAUCCGGCACAGCCCAAGCCAACUCCCACCCGUUGUUCCGGCCUGCUCUUUGGAGUGAUGGUAUUGAGCGAAAACCCCGUCGAAAUGUAGAACGGCGCGGCGAUAUACGUCUCUAGAAGAUAUGGGAACGUCUUCGUCUUUGAUACCAAAUCUUGUUGCAUUGUCGCUUCGUAGAACAUACAUGUAGCCUGACUGGUUGAAAACUAAUCGAGUCCUUUCCUAGUAGGAGAAGUAUACAUCUGUUUCCGCUAGCGACUUGGAGCUGAGAACGAGAAGUUUAAGAUCUCCGUCGUCACUUAGAUGUAGCCUGAAUCUUCCUUUCUUGAAUCUUGUCUCCGUUAGGCGAGAUGAGAGAUUACUUCCAAUCUCUAUACUCUGCAUCAUCCCCAAGUCUAUAUAUGCUUACAAUAACGUAUGAAAUACUAUGAUAUUAUGUGAAACCUAUAAAAUGAUAUCAUAGUUAUUUGACAAAUAUAUAUUAUUCAUAAUUUUAAUAAGAAAACCCUAGACAAAAGUAUCUGCCUCAAUUUUUUUUUUUUUGCAUUAGGUUCAUCAAGUUUUUUUUUCAACCAUGGAAGCUAUGGACAUUAGGUCCAUAAUCUCGCUCAUACUCAUAAUCAGUAUUUAGAUAUUCCUAACAAAAGAAUGAACUUGCGUACCAAAGGUGUUUUGACUCUGGGGCACAAGGUUUUUUUUUUUUUUUGCUAAAGGGGGCACACGGUUUUUACUCGCCCGAAUUAAUAAUAACUAUACUACCCCGUCAGUUUUGAAGUUAGUUAUCAUGCGAAAAUUGACUCACCUGAGUAGGCAACAGAGUGUCGGUGGGAUGACCGAAGCUCGACCACAAAUCUUCGCCGGAAUCUUUGCUCAGCAACCGGAAGUUUCCAGCGUCCGUUAUGUGCCCUCGAGAAACAGAGCCACUACCUGGGGGAAGUGAAGAACUCCAAUGCUGUUGACCUCGAGGGUCUGUGAUGGCCAGACCGCGAUCUGCUGCAAAUGUAACCUUCGAACCCUCAGGGACAAGACCGGUGGUUGUGUUGACUGCUUGUGCGUGCCACACGAUGGUUUUGUCAGGAAUCUUGUCGAACCAAAUGGAGAGAGUGAAACCAUCGUUUGGCUGGAUCUUGCGGAACCCGAACGAUGCUUUCGGCGCGGGGCUGCUUCAACAGAUCAAAACGGUAGUUGUAAAACAAGUAAAAGAUAAAUCAUUGAACAAGAGAGGAAACUCAUUUUACUGGAAGAUCUUGAGAUUGUUCAAGAUUUACAUAGGCCCUGUUCGUUUGCUCAGUUGACUGAUCCAUCUGGGUGAAGGUGAGUAUUGAUGUUCGUUUAGUAGACUUAAUCGGUACAUCCAGAUGGAUCAGUUGGGUGAGUUUCGAAAACUCAGCUGAAUUUUUUUAAAAAAGCUGGCUGAGUCUUCACCAUGCAUCUAGCUGCAGCUGAUUCAGUCAAAAACGGUCAAUGACCAAAAUAACCCCCCCACAUAACCCUAAAUUUAAUUUUAAUCUCUCAGCCUCUCUCUCUCACGCUCUCUCUCUCUCUCUCUCUCUCUCUCUCUCUCUCUCUUUUGGCGGCCAAUCUCUCUCUCUCCGGCCACCUCUCUCUCCGGCGACCUCUCUCUCCGGCGACCCCUCUCUCCGGCGACCUCUCCCUCUCGCUCAAGUAAGAUUGUGUUGUGAGUUUUCUGUUUUGUUGAAUCGCUUACAUAUGAAAUCCAAUCUCUCUUUCAGGUUCUCUCUCUCACUCCGGCGACUUCAGCUCCGGCGACCUUAGCUCCGGCGACCUCUCUCUCUAACUCAAGUAAGAGUCUCUGAGAUCUCAAUGUUGUGGGUUUCUGUUUUGUUUGGAAUAGUUUUAUCACCUCACCAUAUAUGAAUCUCUCUCUCUCUCAGAUUCUCUCUCUCUCAGGCUCUCUCUCUCACUCCGGCGACCUCAGCUCCGGAGACCUUAGCUCCGGCGACCUCUCUCUCUAACUAAAGUAAGAGUCUUUGAGAUUUAAAUGUUGUGGGUUUUCUGUUUUGUUUGGAAUAGUUUUAUCACCUCACCAUAUAUGAAUCUCCCUCUCUCAGGUUCUCUCUCUCAGAUUCUCUCUCUCACUCCAGCGACCUCAGCUCCUAAGACUCUCUCGCUCAAGUAAGACUCUCAGGGAUCUAAAUGUUGUGGGUUUUGUAGAUUGUUCUUCUUCAAGUAUGUAGUUUAUAAGUCUGUACUUUGGAAUCAAUUAUCUUCAAGUCUCUAGUUUAUAUCCUAUAAGUUAUGUUAUGGGUUUUGUUUGCAUCUUCAAGUCUCUAGUCUGUACAUUAAUAACUUUCAUUGUUGUGUUCUCUUUGAAUAUAUUUGCCUAUCUUUUUGUUGAAUACAAAGCUCUUGUCAUGUAUCAGUCUUUAUAAGCUUUGCUUAAGUGGAUUUGCCAACAUUGUUUAAUGGUGUCCUGUGUCCCACCUUUCUUUUGGUGUCUAGCAGGUGCAACAAGAAGCUUUCUCAUUCUAUUAAACAAUGACAUCCAUCCCUGGAUCUGAUGUGAGUAUAUUCCACUCUAAUCUUUUAUUUGAUCUCAGUUUUGUCAAGUGCUUUUCUUAUUAUCUUGAAUCUUCAAAUAAGAAUCUUAUAUGGAGUGACGAGCAAACACGGUUCUUUCUUCAACUAAGACUUGAUGAGAGUUUGAAAAGAAACAUAAGAAAGCAGAUGGUUAAUGAGGCUGGGAGACAGGUGAUCAUGGAUAAGUUCUAUGAGGCAUUUGGUAUAAAAAUUCCAUGGAGAAAAUUUGGGAUAAAGUACAAUACUUGCAAGAAGCAGUACGACUCUUUUAAGAAGUUAACUCGGAACAGAACGGGACUUGGUUUUACUUCAACUGGAUCCAUCAACAUGAGUGAGGACUGGUGGAAUGAGCGAUGCAAGCAAAGAGUGAUGAAUAUAUGAGCUGAAUAAAUGGGUGAAGAUUGUGACAGCAACAAUGGCUCUCCACAAUUUUAUAAGAGAUUCAAACCAUGAGGAUUGUGAUUUUGCACAUUGGGAAAGAGUGGAAGAAUAUGAACAUCAUGGGGAUGAAGAUGAUCAUGUUGCAUACGUACCAGCUGGAGAUAGAGUCAUGGAAGCUAUACGAGAUUCCAUUACUGAAGAGAUGGCGAGAGGACGUCGACUUCCAUACUAGAUGUAAGUUGUUUGAUAAGUUGUUGUUUGAUGGUGUCUUUUGAAGCUUUGUAAUGUGAAUUGAUGAUCUCUUUGUGGCAAAUGCUUAUUCUAGUAUGGGUUUGUAGUUUUGUUUCCUUUGGACCAAUUGAUAAUGCAAACUCAUUAUCCUUUUAUGUUUAAGUUUUUAUUUACCAUGAUCUAUUUAAAGUU